rnacentral:rRNA from 1 species
GACAGAGGUGGCUAGCGUUGUUCGGAUUUAUUGGGCGUAAAGCGAACGCAGGUGGUUUGGUAAGUCAGGGGUGAAAUUCCACAGCUUAACUGUGGCAUUGCCUCUGAUACUGCCUUUCUUGAGUGCAUGAGGGGGAAGCGGAAUUCCGAGUGUAGAGGUGAAAUUCGUAGAUAUUCGGAGGAACACCGGUGGCGAAGGCGGCUUCCUGGCAUGUAACUGACACUCAUGUUCGAAAGCGUGGGGAG